GCAUGUAACCAUAGUGAUGCUGCUGGUGGCUCUGCUGGCCUCCCUGACGGUGAUCUCGGUCAAAGCUGUGUCUGGGAUGAUCACGGAGUCCCUAAAGGGAGAUCUCCAGCUCACCUACCCCAUCUUCUACGUCAUGGUGGUGGUCAUGGUGGCCUCCUGUGCCUUCCAGAUAAAGUUCCUUAAUCAAGCCAUGAAGAUGUUUGACGCCACGGAGGUCGUCCCCAUCAACUUUGUGUUCUUCACUGCCAGUGCCAUUACAGCAGGUACGUUGUUUAACCAGAACUCAGCUAAUUGGCCAGUUCCAUUACAGCAGGUACGUUGUUUAACCAGAACUCAGCUAAUUGGCCAGUGCCAUUACAGCAGGUACGUUGUUUAACCAGAACUCAGCUAAUUGGCCAGUUCCAUUACAGCAGGUACGUUGUUUAACCAGAACUCAGCUAAUUGGCCAGUUCCAUUACAGCAGGUACGUUGUUUAACCAGAACUCAGCUAAUUGGCCAGUUCCAUUACAGCAGGUACGUUGUUUAACCAGAACUCAGCUAAUUGGCCAGUUCCAUUACAGCAGGUACGUUGUUUAACCAGAACUCAGCUAAUUGGCCAGUUCCAUUACAGCAGGUACGUUGUUUAACCAGAACUCAGCUAAUUGGCCAGUUCCAUUACAGCAGGUACGUUGUUUAACCAGAACUCAGCUAAUUGGCCAGUUCCAUUACAGCAGGUACGUUGUUUAACCAGAACUCAGCUAAUUGGCCAGUUCCAUUACAGCAGGUACGUUGUUUAACCAGAACUCAGCUAAUUGGCCAGUUCCAUUACAGCAGGUACGUUGUUUAACCAGAACUCAGCUAAUUGGCCAGUUCCAUUACCGCAGGUUUAACCAGAACUCAGCUAAUUGGCCAGUUCCAUUACAGCAGGUACGUUGUUUAACCAGAACUCAGCUAAUUGGCCAGUUCCAUUACAGCAGGUACGUUGUUUAACCAGAACUCAGCUAAUUGGCCAGUUCCAUUACAGCAGGUUUAACCAGAACUCAGCUACGUUGUUUAACCAGAACUCAGCUAAUUGGCCAGUGCCAUUACAGCAGGUACGUUGUUUAACCAGAACUCAGCUAAUUGGCCAGUUCCAUUACAGCAGGUACGUUGUUUAACCAGAACUCAGCUAAUUGGCCAGUUCCAUUACAGCAGGUACGUUGUUUAACCAGAACUCAGCUAAUUGGCCAGUUCCAUUACAGCAGGUACGUUGUUUAACCAGAACUCAGCUAAUUGGCCAGUUCCAUUACAGCAGGUACGUUGUUUAACCAGAACUCAGCUAAUUGGCCAGUGCCAUUACCGCAGGUACGUUGUUUAACCAGAACUCAGCUAAUUGGCCAGUUCCAUUACAGCAGGUACGUUGUUUAACCAGAACUCAGCUAAUUGGCCAGUUCCAUUACAGCAGGUACGUUGUUUAACCAGAACUCAGCUAAUUGGCCAGUUCCAUUACAGCAGGUACGUUGUUUAACCAGAACUCAGCUAAUUGGCCAGUUCCAUUACCGCAGGUACGUUGUUUAACCAGAACUCAGCUAAUUGGCCAGUUCCAUUACAGCAGGUACGUUGUUUAACCAGAACUCAGCUAAUUGGCCAGUUCCAUUACAGCAGGUACGUUGUUUAACCAGAACUCAGCUAAUUGGCCAGUUCCAUUACCGCAGGUUUAACCAGAACUCAGCUAAUUGGCCAGUUCCAUUACAGCAGGUACGUUGUUUAACCAGAACUCAGCUAAUUGGCCAGUUCCAUUACCGCAGGUUUAACCAGAACUCAGCUAAUUGGCCAGUGCCAUUACCGCAGGUACGUUGUUUAACCAGAACUCAGCUAAUUGGCCAGUUCCAUUACCGCAGGUUUAACCAGAACUCAGCUAAUUGGCCAGUUCCAUUACAGCAGGUACGUUGUUUAACCAGAACUCAGCUAAUUGGCCAGUGCCAUUACAGCAGGUACGUUGUUUAACCAGAACUCAGCUAAUUGGCCAGUUCCAUUACAGCAGGUACGUUGUUUAACCAGAACUCAGCUAAUUGGCCAGUGCCAUUACAGCAGGUACGUUGUUUAACCAGAACUCAGCUA